rnacentral:rRNA from 1 species
UGGGGAAUAUUGGACAAUGGGGGAAACCCUGAUCCAGCAAUGCCGCGUGAGUGAAGAAGGCCUUAGGGUUGUAAAGCUCUUUCGCCCGCGAAGAUAAUGACGGUAGCGGGAGAAGAAGCACCGGCUAACUCCGUGCCAGCAGCCGCGGUAAUACGGAGGGGGCUAGCGUUGUUCGGAAUUACUGGGCGUAAAGCGUACGUAGGCGGAUGCGCAAGUUGGGGGUGAAAUCCCGGGGCUUAACCUCGGAAUUGCCCUCAAAACUGCACGUCUUGAGACCGAGAGAGGUAAGGGGAAUUCCUAGUGUAGAGGUGAAAUUCGUAGAUAUUAGGAAGAACACCAGUGGCGAAGGCGCCUUACUGGCUCGGUACUGACGCUGAGGUACGAAAGCAUGGGGAGCAAACA